UCCUACGGGAGGCAGCAGUAGGGAAUCUUCCACAAUGGACGCAAGUCUGAUGGAGCAACGCCGCGUGAGUGAAGAAGGUUUUCGGAUCGUAAAGCUCUGUUGUUGGUGAAGAAGGAUAGAGGUAGUAACUGGCCUUUAUUUGACGGUAAUCAACCAGAAAGUCACGGCUAACUACGUGCCAGCAGCCGCGGUAAUACGUAGG
rnacentral:rRNA from 1 species